CACAUAAUUUGUAUACACUUUAAGGGGCCUGGUGGGUUAUUUUGCUGUCGUUGUUUUUAUUUAAAAGUGUUUUAAAGCCAUCAGGAAACAAUUUCACGUAAUUUUGAGGGUGUUUUUAUGAUCAAACAUAUUUUUUUAUUUAGUAUAGAGUGGAAGUUGACAGUUUUCAAUUGAAAGUAGGAUGAAUGAAGCUGUUGAUAUAAUAAUAUUACAUCGAGAAGGAUCACACAAAACCCCUCUACUGGAAAUUUCCAGAGAUGUUGGAGACACAGAUUGAAGAUGAUGACCGUGCUUGGAGAUGAUUCUUGGAUGAAAUUGAAAAAUCCACGAAGAGGAGUUAAAUGUGCAGAGACAGUAUUUUGUGAAAGCAGGAAAUUUAAGAUUUGCUAAUGGAUUAAAGUUUUUAAAUUCGCCAUGUCCGUCUACGUCUAUAUCUUUUAUGCAGACUAAUACACGAUGUUUCGCAUAGUUUUAUGAGGCCAUUGAAUAACUUAUUAACUAUACUUAUUAUUGAAAUACGUAUACGUACAUAUUAUACGUUUUGGCUGCGUAAAAUUAAUUGAAAUGAUUUAAUGCUCUGUGGAUUUUAUGUUAUAAUUGGGUAAGAAAAACACAAUUGUAAAUUAGCAAUUUUAAGAGACUAUAAUUAGAGUAGGAGGUUUUUUGUGAUUGCUAAACUAUUUGAAACUGAGCGAAAAAUUUAUAACUUAAAUAUUACUGUUCCAAAUUCCCAAUCAUAAAACUUUUUAUACAAGACAAACAAUAUUAAAGCCUACUCUAAUUAUAAAUUCAAAUGAUUACAUGGUAGUUGUAAUCAGUUAACUUUUGGUUAUACAAUGUGUUCAAGAAUGGUUGUUUAUCAAAUAACUAUCACUUUUAUUAGGCGUUUCAACACUAUAAAAAUGCCAACGUCGCAUUUUACCGAAUUAUUUAUUUAAAUAAGAUUGACAGAAUUGUAAAAUACAGACUGAUCCAGAAAUACUGAGUCUGUUGGAAACACUGGACUUAAAUUUUUAAGGAUACCAAUGGAGUUCUCCUCCAGCUAACAACAAUUUAACAAUCUUGUGGGGUUGUACGUCAAAUAAUUGUCAAGAAAAAUUGAAUUCGGUUGCAAUGUUACAAAUUAUGAGCACAAAUACUUUCAAAUGUGUUGCCAACAGACUCAGUAUUUCUGGAUCAGUCUGUAGCUAUUAAUGAUUAGAUCUUUCACUGAAACUAGAAAUUAUAUAAUCUGUCUAUAAAUGAAUGUAGGAUCGUAGUAGGUAUUAAAAGUUUGCCGCAAUGUUACUAUAUGAAAAAUUUGGUUUUACUAGUUGCAUGAGUAGAUAAAAAUUGGUACUUUUCAAAAAUUUCAUAGAAAUAAAAUAAUUUAAUGUGGCAAAUUCAAAUUCCAGAACCACCUGAGACCCUACACUCUUUUAUAAACAGUCCGUAUUAGCUAGACCGUUAGUAAUGUGGUUUCAACGUUUAUUUCGUAACGUGAUUAUCAAAAUUCUGACAACUGUUUUGCUUUUCUGAAUAGUGUGAAGAAAAGUAAUGAAACCUGUGAAUGAAUGGUGGAUUUAUAUUUGGUCAUUGUACUUACAUUACUACAUAUGAGUAUGUUCAUGAAGAACAAUACGAGUUGAAUUAACUUUGUCUAUACAGGCCGGUGUUUUUGUUUUAAUAAAUUUUU